rnacentral:tRNA from 1 species
AAUUAUGAAGCAAUUUAUUGCUUUCAAUUUCGGCUUGAAGAUUAGGUUUAUUUAACUCUUAAUUA